CCUUCAGUAAGGAACACCCUGUUACUCUUUAUGAAGUUGCAGAAAAUGAUGAUGGAGAGUAUGAGCCAUGAUUAAUCCUCGCUCCAAUCCCUGCAGAGCCAACAACCCCUCAGGUGCCAUUCUGAU